GGUAAAAAUAUCAGUCUCUUCUAAAACAGCAGAAACACACGAGUGAGCAAAACUAGGCGGCUGAGGGCAAAAUCAGUAGAAGACACACGAUGAGGGUUUUCAAGAACAAGAACAAAAAUCAUUAGCCAAUGUGAAUCUAAGGGUGCUUUCACCGCUUGUGAUGAUAUGUGAAGCUCUAUUUCUUCUCAAUUAACAUCGUCGUCGCUUGUACGAGUAGUUAAAUCAAGUUUAGGCUGUUGAGAAGGGUCGAGACCCAACACCAAGUGAAAUACAUUUGUACGUCCAUACACAUGGGCAUGAUGGAAAAUCUUUUCUUGAUGAGAAAGCUCGAAUCGUGAAAGAAAGAUAUCAGGAAAUAUUAUGGGAACAAACACAAACUCGAUCUGAUAUUGACCAAUGUAAAGCAUAUUAUGAAGCCGCGAGAGGGGAAAAGAAGAGAAGAUUAUAUGGUCUUGGAUCUCAAGCAAAAUGCUAUUAUGAGCCGAAUCUUCGUGGUUCUUCUGGAUCAGAUGCUUCAUCAUCAAUACCACCUUCGAGUACUCAAUCAACAUCAAUAGGGAAUCUGGAUGAGUUAAUGAUGCGUUUGAUUCCUGCACUAACAGAGCGAUGCGUUUGAUUCCUGCACUAACAGAGCGCAUA